CCAUAAAUAAGGCAGAGAAACGAGUGAAGCAGCAGAAGUGCCAUAAUAGUUCAAAAAGCACCCUUUGGAAGAGUAUAUACUAGAAUUCACAUUGAAUAACAAUUACCAAGGGAUUGCUUAAAACAGAUAAAUAAACAAAUUGAGAUUAUGGUACUGCAAACUCCACUCUACCCCUAUUAUGUUGCAGUUCUAUUGGAAUGAAACCAAGCAAAGCAAAACAUCUUGAAUUCUCCCCUGUUAAUAGGCCCUUUAAUGCUACAUGGUUAAAGUGCUCCUCUCUGCAUUCACGCUUCUCAAAUCGUGAAA
rnacentral:lncRNA from 1 species